GAUGAAGAACGCAGCGAAAUGCGAUACUUGGUGUGAAUUGCAGAAUCCCGUGAACCAUCGAGUCUUUGAACGCAAGUUGCGCCCGAAGCCACUAGGCCGAGGGCACGCCUGCCUGGGCGUCACACGUCGUUGCCCCCCACCAUCUACUCCUUCGGGAUUGCGGGGGGCGGCUGAUGGCCUCCCGUGCGCCUAGCCGCGCGGUUGGCAUAAAUACCAAGUCCUCGGCGACGCACGCCACGACAAUCGGUGGUUGCGAAACCUCGGUUGCCCGUCGUGUGCGUUCGUCGCGCAUCGAGGGCUCGAAAAAAUGCUCGGCUCCGGCUCGGCUUUCAACGCGACCCCAGGUCAGGCGGGGUUACCCGCUGAAUUUAAGCAUAUCAAUAAGCGGAGGA
rnacentral:misc_RNA from 1 species